GGGUCAGUAGGUUGGUCGUGCCACCGGUACGUACUGGUCUCACUGAUUCCUCCUUCCUGAAGAACCGUAAUGCCAUUAAUUUGGUGUUGCGGGGAAACAGGACUGUUACUUUGAAAAAAUUAGAGUGAUUAACGCAAGCUAACGCUUGAAUACAUUAGCAUGGAAUAAUGAAAUAGGACGAUCGAUCCUAUUUUGUUGGUUUCUAGGAUUGACGUA
rnacentral:rRNA from 1 species